UACGGAGGGAGCAAGCGUUAUCCGGAUUCACUGGGUUUAAAGGGUGCGUAGGUGGGCAGGUAAGUCAGUGGUGAAAUCUCUGGGCUUAACUCAGAAACUGCCAUUGAUACUAUCUGUCUUGAAUACCGUGGAGGUCAGCGGAAUAUGUCAUGUAGCGGUGAAAUGCUUAGAUAUGACAUAGAACACCAAUUGCGAAGGCAGCUGGCUACACGAAUAUUGACACUGAUGCACGAAAGCGUGGGGAUCAAACAGG
rnacentral:rRNA from 1 species